rnacentral:lncRNA from 1 species
UGGCGGGUCUGGACACGUGCCGAGUAGGCUUCCGCUGAGCCCCGGGGUGUAACAAUGGAUAUUCGAAAUUUUAUGCGAAUCCGAACCCGAAUGAAACGGAUAUAUCUAAUACUAAAUGGAUAAGAAUUCAGAUAUGUAUAUAAAAAAUAGAAACCCAACGGAUAUGAAUUCAGACAUGAAUUUUGACUAUACCUGAUCCGAGCCCGAACUUGACCCGAACCCGAUCCGAACCCGAAUUUAUUUUGUAUUAUAUAUAUAUAUAUAUAUAUAUAUAUAUAUGAUGUUAUAUUUGAAUUUAUAUUUUAAAAAUUUAGAUUUAAUAUAAUAUAUUUUGAAAUAUUGAAAAAAAGAUAAUUAUUUCGGGUUCAUGUUCGGGUUCGGAUUUCGAAUUUUUGGUCUAUUCGGAUUUGGAUAUAAAUUUUUAAAAUUCGUCAAAUUCGGGUUCAGAUUCGGGUCUUGGGUUAGAGUCGGGUUCGAGUUCAGAUUUUUAAAAAUUUGUUCCGAAUCCGUUUCGUUGACAUCUCUACCUCAGCAAAUAGUCCUGUUGUUACAUAAAUUUAAUAAUUUUAAAGCAAUAUGAACGUGAAUGGGACGGUUCGGCGAUGUCUCAAUCAAUUUAAUUUUUGGGCGGUGACAAGAUCCAUGAUGUGAAAUGGUGGGCCCGCCGUGGUGCGGUGACUCAAUGUGCCACGCGUAAAGUUAGUAGUUAAUUUUAGAAAAAAACUUUUUAAGUAUCAUCCAUGAUAUUUCUACUUUUUUAUUAUAAUUUAAAAUGUACUACUUCAAGUAUCUUGUAAUUUUAUUUUUACUAUUUUAGUUAUUUUUUAUAUUAAUUAUUUUGUUAAAUUAGUGAUAAAGUUAAAACUAUAUAAUAUUAAAAUAAAAAUUCGGUAAACCACAGAGUACGAAAGUAAAUAUUCGAUUGUGGGAUAUCUGAAAUGUUUUGUAUAUAAUUUAACAGGGGGUUAAUCGGAGGUACUGACGAAAAGAAAAAAAAUAAAACAACAAAAUAUUAAAGUGAAAAAAUGUGAAAAAAUUUUAUGAUAUUAAAGUGAAAAAAUAUAAAACUAUAGGAUAUUAAAAUAAAAAAUUGUAAAACUAUAUGGGUGGUAUUUGAAGUUUA